rnacentral:rRNA from 1 species
GACGAACGCUGGCGGCGUGCUUAACACAUGCAAGUCGAACGGAAAGGCCCUGCUUUUGUGGGGUGCUCGAGUGGCGAACGGGUGAGUAACACGUGAGUAACCUGCCCUUGACUUUGGGAUAACUUCAGGAAACUGGGGCUAAUACCGGAUAGGAGCUCCUGCUGCAUGGUGGGGGUUGGAAAGUUUCGGCGGUUGGGGAUGGACUCGCGGCUUAUCAGCUUGUUGGUGGGGUAGUGGCUUACCAAGGCUUUGACGGGUAGCCGGCCUGAGAGGGUGACCGGCCACAUUGGGACUGAGAUACGGCCCAGACUCCUACGGGAGGCAGCAGUGGGGAAUAUUGCACAAUGGGCGGAAGCCUGAUGCAGCAACGCCGCGUGCGGGAUGACGGCCUUCGGGUUGUAAACCGCUUUCGCCUGUGACGAAGCGUGAGUGACGGUAAUGGGUAAAGAAGCACCGGCUAACUACGUGCCAGCAGCCGCGGUGAUACGUAGGGUGCGAGCGUUGUCCGGAUUUAUUGGGCGUAAAGGGCUCGUAGGUGGUUGAUCGCGUCGGAAGUGUAAUCUUGGGGCUUAACCCUGAGCGUGCUUUCGAUACGGGUUGACUUGAGGAAGGUAGGGGAGAAUGGAAUUCCUGGUGGAGCGGUGGAAUGCGCAGAUAUCAGGAGGAACACCAGUGGCGAAGGCGGUUCUCUGGGCCUUUCCUGACGCUGAGGAGCGAAAGCGUGGGGAGCGAACAGGCUUAGAUACCCUGGUAGUCCACGCUGUAAACGGUGGGUACUAGGUGUGGGGUCCAUUCCACGGGUUCCGUGCCGUAGCUAACGCUUUAAGUACCCCGCCUGGGGAGUACGGCCGCAAGGCUAAAACUCAAAGGAAUUGACGGGGCCCCGCACAAGCGGCGGAGCAUGCGGAUUAAUUCGAUGCAACGCGUAGAACCUUACCUGGGUUUGACAUGGAUCGGGAGUGCUCAGAGAUGGGUGUGCCUCUUUUGGGGUCGGUUCACAGGUGGUGCGUGGCUGUCGUCAGCUCGUGUCGUGAGAUGUUGGGUUAAGUCCCGCAACGAGCGCAACCCUUGUUCACUGUUGCCAGCACGUUAUGGUGGGGACUCAGUGGAGACCGCCGGGGUCAACUCGGAGGAAGGUGGGGAUGACGUCAAGUCAUCAUGCCCCUUAUGUCCAGGGCUUCACGCAUGCUACAAUGGCUGGUACAGAGAGUGGCGAGCCUGUGAGGGUGAGCGGAUCUCGGAAAGCCGGUCUCAGUUCGGAUUGGGGUCUGCAACUCGACCUCAUGAAGUCGGAGUCGCUAGUAAUCGCAGAUCAGCAACGCUGCGGUGAAUACGUUCCCGGG